UACGGAGGGUGCAAGCGUUGUCCGGAUUUAUUGGGUUUAAAGGGUGCGUAGGUGGCCUUAUAAGUCAGUGGUGAAAGCCUGCAGCUUAACUGUAGGACUGCCAUUGAUACUGUAGGGCUUGAGUACUGAUGAGGUAGGCGGAAUUGAUAGUGUAGCGGUGAAAUGCAUAGAUAUUAUCAAGAACACCGAUUGCGAAGGCAGCUAUCUACAGGGAUAUUGACACUGAGGCACGAAAGCGUGGGGAUCAAACAGG
rnacentral:rRNA from 1 species